GACGAACGCUGGCGGCGUGCUUAACACAUGCAAGUCGAACGGUGAAGCGCCUUCCUUUUUGGUGGGUGUGGAUGAGUGGCGAACGGGUGAGUAACACGUGAGUAACCUGCCCCCUUCUUCUGCAUAACCGCAUGAAAGUGUGGCUAAUACGGGAUAUUCUGGGUCUGUCGCAUGAUGGGUCUGGGAAAGAUAUUGUUUCGGUGGGGGAUGGGCUCGCGGCCUAUCAGCUUGUUGGUGGGGUGAUGGCCUACCAAGGCGGUGACGGGUAGCCGGCCUGAGAGGGUGGACGGUCACACUGGGACUGAGACACGGCCCAGACUCCUACGGGAGGCAGCAGUGGGGAAUAUUGCACAAUGGGCGCAAGCCUGAUGCAGCGACGCCGCGUGAGGGAUGGAGGCCUUCGGGUUGUGAACCUCUUUCGCCAGUGAAGCAGGCCUGCCUCGUUUGUGGGUGGGUUGACGGUAGCUGGAUAAGAAGCGCCGGCUAACUACGUG
rnacentral:rRNA from 1 species